rnacentral:lncRNA from 10 species
UGGAACUUCAUCUACUGCCAGCUCCCCCAUUCCCCUCCCACGAGUGUGGGUGGCCCUCUUAGCCUCUGACCGCAUACUGGAACCUGCGGAGGCAGUGUUACCAGACCUGAGGUCUUCCUCUGCAUUUCAUUUGCUGUUCCCUGGCCUGCAAUGCCCCUUCCUUCCCACCUCCCCCGAGGGCCUAGCAGCCCCUCCUACACAGCCCUCUAGCCCCUCUGUGCUCAAAGUGCAUCUGAGGACAUCACCUGAGAGCUGUAGGAGAUGCAGGAUCUCAGGCCCCACCCCAAACCUACUGAAGCCAAAUCUGCUGUUUAACGUGAUCCCUGGAGAUUCAUAAGCAUGUUGUCUGUGCAGCACGGAGUGAGGGGCGGCUCCUCUUCGCUGCACCCCUUCCUGAUUACCCCUAGGCCCAGCCAAAUAAACUCUUCUUCCUGCUCCCUUGUGCCCCAUUUGGACUUCACUCGUAACAAGGGAGUAUAACUGGAUGGUAAAAGGGACUUUUCCUGUUAUCUAGACAUUUCAGCAGAGGCCUCAAAGGCAGAACAAAAUAGUGCAAGGAGCCGCACAUCCGCACAGUGCUGAGACCCUGCCCAGGACAAGCUUGACAAAAAAGAAGAAAAUUGGGUCUUGUUAUGUUGCCCAGGCUGGUCUCCAACUCCUGGCCUCAAGUGAUCCUCCCAGCUUGUCCUUCCAAAGUGUUGGGAUUAUAGGUGUGAGCCACUGUGCCUGGCCAUGUCUGAAUGUUGAAUGUUGACAGCUUCAGUGAAUUGACCCCUCUUUCACCUAUGGGACUUAUGAAGAGAGAAUCUUUCUGGCAUUGCAUAAUCCUUCCCAAGAGUACUUUAGCUGUGGUAACCCUUCUUGUUAUAAAACAUGCCAGGUAUGAUGAUGGAGAUCAGCUGAGCUGGACUUAGAAUCUUCUCUAAGAACAUUUACAGGCACUCAGUGUUAACAGCAGGGCAGAUGUAGGUUUCUGGGAACCUGAGGCUUAUAGGAACUGGAGUUCAUUGUAAGAAAAAGAAUAUCAAAUUAUGAAGACAAAAUUAGGCAUCAAUGUGAAUAUUAAUUUAGGAGAAAUCACAACAAAUCGCACAUCCUGAAAAGCUAACAAAUACUGCAUACAUCGCAGAAUCUAGAAGCAUAACAAUAUUUGUAUUGGUUAACUUGGACAUAUCACUAUAGUAUGCUUUUUUUCUACAUUUUGGGCUAUAUUUUUUUCCUAUUCUUUUUGGUUGAUGUCCUUGUAGUAGUGGCUACAUGUUAGUAGGCACUAACCCUAGUAGUAACUAAUCCUAGUAGUAGGGUUCAUGUUAUUGUUGUCGAUGUCUGUAUUUUGUGAUCAAAUCACCAAGACUGCAAAUCCUUCUUUCAACAUAUUCAUAUGAUUCACUCCCCUUCAUUAAAUUGGGUUAUUCAAACAAUUAUGCUCCAAAUUUAUCUCUUCCUCUUAAUCAAGUACUACUUUGGCAUGAUCUGAUUUUUAUAAUUAUUCUCUCUUCUCAUCUUUAUUAUUUAUAUUUUCUUAGCUAUUAUGAUUCUUCUUCUCAAUUUCAUGCUUUUGUCUAUCAGGCUUUUUAGCUUCUGUUGUGAUAGAACAAAAGAGUUUUUGACAUUUUGUAACUUCUUCCAGUCUUUUAUCUUUCAGUUUUUGUCUGAGACUUCUACUAGGAUGUUUUCUUCUCAACACGCUUGAUUUUUGUAUAGUUAAUAAUUUUGAAAUAAAGGCAUUCUCAAGAGCAGUUCAAAUGCACUUGAAAAUUGCUGAAAUGUAUUGAGUUGCAUAUUGCAUAAUCAAAUUACUUUUUUGCCACAUAGACUGAUCUAUUGGUGAGUAUGUGUAGGGGUUUCAUUACCCUGGAGUCCUUUUUCUUUGCUUUUUUUCCCCUUUCUUUCCAUUUCUGUGGCAAUUUGGUGAACAGUUUCAUCAGGAAGUGUGAGACUUCAUAAGGGCAAGAGGAUCAGAUAGAUACUCUAAGGGUGAUCCGUUCAGUUUGCACAAUAAAUCUGUGGAAGACAUCAUAUGUACAGU